rnacentral:rRNA from 1 species
UGCAAGAUCGACUAUGUUGACUAAAAUUCUAGAUAGUGUUAUGAUAAUGACAUUUCCUAUCUAUGUGUCUUGACUAAAUCACGUGCCAGCAGUCGCGGUAAUACGUGGAAGACUAGUGUUAUUCAUCUUUAAUAGGUUUAAAGGGUACUUAGACGGUUGAUUAAGUCUACUAAUCACCUGGAGUUUAAUAUAAGGAGGGGUGUACUAAAGAGUGUAGAGAUGAAAUUCUGUCAUACCUGUUUGGAACAGACAACGGCGAAAGCAACCUCUUAUGUAAAAACUGACGUUGAAGGACGAAGGCUUAGGACACCAACAGGAUUAGAUACCCCAGCAGUCUAAGCAGACAAUGAUGAAUGUCAUAGAUUAUAAUUAUAAUUUUAUCUAUAAAUGAAAGUGUAAGCAUUCCACCUCAAGAGUAAUGUGGCAACGCAGAAACUGAAAUCAUUAGACCGUUUCUGAAACCAGUAGUGAAGUAUGUUGUUUAAUUUGUCGGUCCGCAAAACACCUUACCACAAUUUGUAUAAUUUUUACAAGCGUUGCACGGCUGUUUUCAGUUAAUGUCGUGAGAUUUUGGUUAGUUCCAUAAAAUUAACGUAAACCCUUACUUUAUUUUAAAGCAGUUCACCACUAUAUUGGAUAUGAUAAUAGGGAAUAAGACAAGUCAAUAUGGCCUUAAUAUUGUGGGCUAUAGACGUGCCACAUAAGCCUUAACAAAGG